GGAAUAUAAGAACCGUUUCUUAACUUUUAACUAAAAAAACUAUGAACCGGCUCUUAAAUCUUUUAUUUAAGAGCCGGUUCUUAGCUUUUUUUAGUUAAAAAUUAAGAGACGGAUUCUUAUAUUCC
rfam:Brassica napus, WGS project CCCW01000000 data, contig: 2457